UAGCUCAAUGGUUGAGCAUUUGUCUGUCAUGCAAAGAACCUUAGUUCGAUCCUAAA
rnacentral:tRNA from 1 species